CCUACGGGAGGCAGCAGUGAGGAAUAUUGGUCAAUGGCCGGAAGGCUGAACCAGCCAUGCCGCGUGAGUGUCAAUGCCCUAUGGGCGUUAAACUUCUUUUGUGCGGGAGCAAUAAUAGUCACGUGUGGCCAGACGAGAGUGCCGUCCGAAUAAGCAUCGGCUAAAUCCGUUCCAGCAGCCGCGCGAAUACGGGGGAUGCAAGCGUUAUACGGAUUUAUUGGGGUUAAAGGGGGCGGAGGCUGGGAGGUAAGUCAGCGGUGAAAUGCCCCCGCUUAACGGGGUGAAGUGCAAUUGAUACUGGCGUGCUGGAAUGCGGAGGCGGUGGGAGGAAUGUGUGGUGUAGCGGUGAAAUGCAUAGAUAUCACACAGAACACCGAUUGCGAAGGCAGCUCACGAAUCGGUGAUUGACGCUGAGGCACGAAAGCGUGGGGAGCAAACAGGAUUAGAUACCCGAGUAGUC
rnacentral:rRNA from 1 species